CCUACGGGAGGCAGCAGUGAGGAAUAUUGGUCAAUGGGCGGAAGCCUGAACCAGCCAAGUCGCGUGAGGGAUUAAGGCCCUGCGGGUCGUACACCUCUUUUGCCGGGGAGCAGUGGUCCGGACGCGUCCGGACCGGGAGAGUACCCGGGGAAAAAGCAUCGGCUAACGCCGUGCCAGCAGCCGCGGUAAUACGGAGGAUGCGAGCGUUAUCCGGAUUUAUGGGGGGGAAAGGGAGCGUAGACGGCAGCGCAAGUCUGGAGUGAAAUCCCAUGGCUUAACCAUGGAACUGCUUUGGAAACUGUGCAGCUAGAGUGCAGGAGAGGUAAGCGGAAUUCCUAGGGUAGCGGUGAAAUGCGUAGAUAUUAGGAGGAACACCAGUGGCGAAGGCGGCCUGCUGGACGGUGACUGACGCUGAGGCUCGAAAGCGUGGGGAGCAAACAGGAUUAGAUACCCCUGUAGUC
rnacentral:rRNA from 1 species